GUAGAUAUAGUUUAUAAAAACAUUAGACUGUGAACCUAAAAUCAGAAGACUAAUCUUCUUAUCUACC
rnacentral:tRNA from 1 species